GACGAACGCUGGCGGCGUGCUUAACACAUGCAAGUCGAACGGUGAAGCGCCUUCCUUUUUGGUGGGUGUGGAUGAGUGGCGAACGGGUGAGUAACACGUGAGUAACCUGCCCCCUUCUUCUGGAUAACCGCAUGAAAGUGUGGCUAAUACGGGAUAUUCUGGGUCUGUCGCAUGAUGGGUCUGGGAAAGAUAUUGUUCCGGUGGGGGAUGGGCUCGCGGCCUAUCAGCUUGUUGGUGGGGUGAUGGCCUACCAAGGCGGUGACGGGUAGCCGGCCUGAGAGGGUGGACGGUCACACUGGGACUGAGACACGGCCCAGACUCCUACGGGGGGCAGCAGGGGGGAAUAUUGCACAAUGGGCGCAAGCCUGAUGCAGCGACGCCGCGUGAGGGAUGGAGGCCUUCGGGUUGUGAACCUCUUUCGCCAGUGAAGCAGGCCUGCCUCGUUUGUGGGUGGGUUGACGGUAGCCGGAUAAGAAGCGCCGGCUAACUACGUG
rnacentral:rRNA from 1 species